rnacentral:rRNA from 1 species
GAUGAACGCUGGCGGCGUGCUUAACACAUGCAAGUCGAACGGGAAACCUUUUAUUGCAGCUUCGGCAGAUUUAGCUGGUUUCUAGUGGCGGACGGGUGAGUAACGCGUGGGUAACCUGCCUUAUACAGGGGGAUAACAGUCAGAAAUGGCUGCUAAUACCGCAUAAGCGCACAGAGCUGCAUGGCUCAGUGUGAAAAACUCCGGUGGUAUAAGAUGGACCCGCGUUGGAUUAGCUGGUUGGUGGGGUAACGGCCCACCAAGGCGACGAUCCAUAGCCGGCCUGAGAGGGUGAACGGCCACAGUGGGACUGAGACACGGCCCAGACUCCUACGGGAGGCAGCAGUGGGGAAUAUUGCACAAUGGGGGAAACCCUGAUGCAGCGACGCCGCGUGAAGGAAGAAGUAUCUCGGUAUGUAAACUUCUAUCAGCAGGGAAGAUAAUGACGGUACCUGACUAAGAAGCCCCGGCUAACUACGUG